AUAUCAAUAAGCGGAGGAAAAGAAACUAACAAGGAUUCCCUUAGUAACGGCGAGUGAACCGGGAAAAGCUCAAAUUUGUAAUCUGGCUGUCUUCGAUAGUCCGAGUUGUAAUCUAUAGACGUGUUUUCCGUGCUGGACCGUAUCUAAGUCCCUUGGAACAGGGUAUCAAAGAGGGUGACAAUCCCGUGCUUGAUACGACCACCAGUGCUCUGUGAUACACGCUCUACGAGUCGAGUUGUUUGGGAAUGCAGCUCAAAAUGGGUGGUAAAUUCCAUCUAAAGCUAAAUAUUGGCGAGAGACCGAUAGCGAACAAGUACCGUGAGGGAAAGAUGAAAAGCACUUUGGAAAGAGAGUUAAACAGUACGUGAAAUUGUUGAAAGGGAAACGAUUGAAGUCAGUCGUGUUCUUUGGAUUCAGCUAGUUCUUCUAGUCUACUUCCAUUGAACGGGUCAACAUCAGUUUUGUCCGGUGGAUAAAGAUAGUAGGAAUGUAGCUCCCUCGGGAGUGUUAUAGACUAUUAUUGCAUACACUGGGUGAGACUGAGGACUGCAGCUCGCCUUUUGGCCGGUCUUCGGACACGUUCGAGCUUAGGAUGUUGACAUAAUGGCUUUAAACGAC
rnacentral:rRNA from 1 species